UGGGGAAUAUUGGACAAUGGGCGAAAGCCUGAUCCAGCCAUGCCGCGUGUGUGAAGAAGGUCUUCGGAUUGUAAAGCACUUUAAGUUGGGAGGAAGGGCAUUAACCUAAUACGUUAGUGUUUUGACGUUACCGACAGAAUAAGCACCGGCUAACUCUGUGCCAGCAGCCGCGGUAAUACAGAGGGUGCAAGCGUUAAUCGGAAUUACUGGGCGUAAAGCGCGCGUAGGUGGUUUGUUAAGUUGGAUGUGAAAGCCCCGGGCUCAACCUGGGAACUGCAUUCAAAACUGACUGACUAGAGUAUGGUAGAUGGUGGUGGAAUUUCCUGUGUAGCGGUGAAAUGCGUAGAUAUAGGAAGGAACACCAGUGGCGAAGGCGACCACCUGGACUAAUACUGACACUGAGGUGCGAAAGCGUGGGGAGCAAACA
rnacentral:rRNA from 1 species